UGAGUAGUUUAUUUUAAGUAAUGAAUCUAUUAAGUGUUACAAAAUGUUAUGUCAUAUUUAUAAUAAAUAAUAAUGGUGUUACUAUUAUUAGUUAUAAUCAUGCCAAGAAAAUGUUCAAUAGUUAAUUGUACCACAAAUUAUUUAACAUCAACUUCAGAAGAAAAGCUUCAUGUUUAAAUGUUUCCAAGUGACACACAAAAGUUACAAUAUUGGUUGUCAUCUAUUCCAAAUGCGUUUGAAAAAGUAACUUCAAAUAUGGGUGUGUGUGAAAAACACUGGCCACCAGGCUGCAAAAUGCACAAGCCUCCUUGAUCAAAGUUUGAGGUUCCUAUUGAUCCCCCAUCUAUUUUUCCUGGAUGCACAUCUUCAAUGGUGCACCAAACAGUCUCAACACAAUCAAGAUCUACAAAUAUAAAUAAAAUUUCUUUAACAUCACGAAAUGCAAUACCUGAUGAAAUAGAUGAUUUCAAUCAAAUUGAUUUAAUUAGAUUAUAUGAUGUUGAAAUAAUGUUAUCUGAAAUAAAAGAAAGAUAUCCUCAAUACUUUGCAUUCAUUGAAAAUUCAAAAGUCAUAUUGUUUGAUGUUUCUCAAUCAUGUCUACCUGAAACAACAUUUUCUGUUGAAAUCAACUGUCAUUCAUGUCAAGUUAAUAUUUAUUGUAGGCAUACAAAAGUUAACUGCUAUGACCUGCCCAGUUUUUCUCAUUGUCUUACUCGGUGGUCACAGCUUGAAGCUAUUGUCAAAAGAGUUUGUACCUCUAAUCCUGAAAUAAAAGAUGAGGUAUUAAGUUUGAUUAGUCAAAUUGAAAAUACAUACAGUGACACUUCUGAAGAAUUUUUUUUCCUCCUUAAACAACUACGCCUCACCACAUUCUCCAAAUGGACUGCGCUUUUCUACUUUAUGUAUACGUCGUGCACUUAAACUGUAUUUAUCCUCCAGAUGCUAUUAUCGACAUUUAAGAAAUUUGCUUUGUUUGCCCAAUCCAAAGACUCAUUUCAAAAUUAGGAAGAGUUAGAGAAGUUGGAAAUGAAAAAGAGUGCAAUAAUACAAUCAAAGUUGUUUUUGAAAAUUUUAAUAGUUCUGAAAAGCGUUGCUGCCUUCUCUUUGAUGAGAUGUAUAUUAAACCAAGUGUUAGUUUCAGAGGAGGACACCUCAUUGGAUAUAGUGAGGACAAUCCCACUAAAAUUGCAAAAACGUUAUUAGUCUUUAUGAUUAAACCUAUGUUUGGUAAACCUUCUUUUGUUUGUAAAAUCGUACCAUUAUUUAAACUGUCAGUGCACUUUCUUCACGAUUUGAUUAUAAACAUAAAUAAACAAAUAAUUGAUGCAGGAGGAGAAUUACUGUGUUUUUUAUCAGAUAACCAUCCCACAAAUCGAAGUGUUUACCAAAGUUUCGUUGUUAAUAAAAGUUUUCCAUGGCAAGGUGUUAUAGAAAAAGAAAAACCAGUUAUUAUGCUACACAAUCCAGUUCACUUGUUUAAAAGUAUAAGAAAUAAUUGGUUUACGGAAAAAACACAAAGAAUUAGUUUAAAAAUUAAUAAUCAACCUCUCUCUGGUGAUUGGUCUCACAUUGUUCAAUUAUAUAACAGACAGAAAAUUUGUGUUGCCAAAAAUACAAAGCUUUCACGCAAGUCAGUGUACCCUAGUUUGAUUGAUAGACAAAAUGUUGCAAACAUGGUUGCUGUAUUUAAUAAAAAAAACUGUUGCAGCAUUGAGAUUAGCUAAUUUUGAGAACACUGCCUGUUUUUUAGCACCAAUUGUUUUAUUAUGGAACAUGCUAAAUGUAAAGAGGAAAGGUUGUGAUGUUUUACUUAAUGAUAUCAAUAGGUCUCCUUUCCAGACACUCGAUGACCUUAGAUUUAAAGAAAUUUUAGCAUUUGCUGAUGCAACUUCUAAGAUGUCAGAGGGAAAGGGAUUAAAGCGUCAUAAUACUUUUACACCAGAAACAAAACAUGCUUUAGUUAACACCCUACAAGGAUUGGUAGAAUUAAUAAAAAAACUACUUUCAGAAGAUCACCAAUAUGUUCUUCCCGGUAUUUUUCAAAGAAAUCGUCUUAAAGGUGAAUUUGGCAUCUACAGAUGAAUGUUUAAUGCAGACAAUGAAUCUAUUAAUGAUCAGGAGAAUGCUGCCCUUUUUUAUAUGGCUGGUUAUGUACAGCACAAGAUCGAUCCGCAGCGUGUAGUUGAUACAACAACAUCACAAUCAGCUAGUUCUGAAUUUACAGAUUAUGUUUCACGUGGUAAAUUGUGUUAUCCUGGUGAUACUCUUCUCCAGUUUAUUUGUGUUUGUUAUCUACUGUUUAACAGCAUUCCAAUGUCUGAAAAACGUUUUCAAUGUGUUGUUUAUGCAAAGAAAUUAUUUUUAUUCUUGCAUUCAACAUUACCAUUUGAUUUAGAAACAGACAGUAUAGGUGUUGCAAAAGUUAUCUCAAUAAUAACUAACUGUUUCUUGAAAGGUGUUACGACCCUUGAUAAUACAUCUGAUAUUGUUUCAUUAAACAUUGAGGACAGAAAAAGAAAGAAACUUAAUACUUAGUGGUCUGAUUAUUUAGUUGACGUUGGUGAUAUAAUUAAUAACGUUUUGAAAUGUAUUUAUGGCUUUAUAUGGUUUAAAAUUUAUUUAUAAUUAUAUAUUUAUUAUUAUGAUAUGAAUAUAAUAUAGUAU